rnacentral:rRNA from 1 species
CAGCAGCCGCGGUAAUACGUAGGGUGCGAGCGUUAAUCGGAAUUACUGGGCGUAAAGCGUGCGCAGGCGGUUCGUUAAGACAGAUGUGAAAUCCCCGGGCUUAACCUGGGAACUGCAUUUGUGACUGGCGAGCUAGAGUAUGGCAGAGGGGGGUAGAAUUCCACGUGUAGCAGUGAAAUGCGUAGAGAUGUGGAGGAAUACCGAUGGCGAAGGCAGCCCCCUGGGCCAAUACUGACGCUCAUGCACGAAAGCGUGGGGAGCAAACAGGAUUAGAGACCCGAGUAGUCCCUGUCUCUUAUAC